rnacentral:rRNA from 1 species
UACGAAGGGGGCUAGCGUUGCUCGGAAUCACUGGGCGUAAAGCGCACGUAGGCGGCUUUCUAAGUCAGGGGUGAAAUCCUGGAGCUCAACUCCAGAACUGCCUUUGAUACUGGAGAGCUCGAGUCCGGGAGAGGUGAGUGGAACUCCGAGUGUAGAGGUGAAAUUCGUAGAUAUUCGCAAGAACACCAGUGGCGAAGGCGGCUCACUGGCCCGGUACUGACGCUGAGGUGCGAAAGCGUGGGGAGCAAACAGG